GACGUAGGGCGCGAGCGUUGUCCGGAUUCACUGGGUUUAAAGGGUGCGUAGGUGGGCAGGUAAGUCAGUGGUGAAAUCUCCGGGCUUAACCCGGAAACUGCCGUUGAUACUAUCUGUCUUGAAUAUCCUGGAGGUGAGCGGAAUAUGUCAUGUAGCGGUGAAAUGCUUAGAUAUGACAUAGAACACCAAUUGCGAAGGCAGCUCACUACGGGAUCAUUGACACUGAGGCACGAAAGCGUGGGGAUCAAACAGG
rnacentral:rRNA from 1 species